rnacentral:siRNA from 1 species
GUUUAGUGCUAAAACCCAACAAGU